GACGUAGGGUGCGAGCGUUGUCCGGAUUUAUUGGGCGUAAAGAGCUCGUAGGCGGCUCGUCGCGUCGACCGUGAAAACCCGCAGCUUAACUGCGGGCUUGCGGUUGAUACGGGCGGGCUAGAGUUCGGUAGGGGAGACUGGAAUUCCUGGUGUAGCGGUGAAAUGCGCAGAUAUCAGGAGGAGCACCGGUGGCGAAGGCGGGUCUCUGGGCCGAUACUGACGCUGAGGAGCGAAAGCGUGGGGAGCGAACAGG
rnacentral:rRNA from 1 species